CCUCCGGCCAUCCUUGGGGGAACUGCCAUGGCCUUAAUUGGUUGUGGUAUGGAACCCAUCGUUUACUGUGAAAAAAUUAGAGUGUUUAAAGCAGGCUUAGGCCGUUGAAUACAUUAGCAUGGAAUAAUAAGAUAGGACCUUAUGGACCUCUUGUUGGUUUGCGCCGUAAGGUAAUGAUUAAUAGGGAUAGUUGGGGGUAUUCGUAUUUAAUUGUCAGAGGUGAAAUUCUUGGAUUUAUGAAAGACGAACUUCUGCGAAAGCAUUUACCAAGGAUGUUUUCAUUAAUCAAGAACGAAAGUUAGGGAAUCGAAGAUGAUUAGAUACCAUCGUAGUCUUAACCAUAAACUAUGCCGACUAGGGAUUGGCGGUCGUUAAUUUUAUGACUCCGUCAGCACCUUAUGAGAAAUCAAAGUCUUUGGGUUCCGGGGGGAGUAUGGUCGCAAGGCUGAAACUUAAAGGAAUUGACGGAAGGGCACCACC
rnacentral:rRNA from 1 species